rnacentral:rRNA from 1 species
AUUGAACGCUGGCGGCAUGCCUUACACAUGCAAGUCGAACGGUAACAGGUCUUCGGACGCUGACGAGUGGCGAACGGGUGAGUAAUACAUCGGAACGUGCCCAGUCGUGGGGGAUAACUACCCGAAAGAGUAGCUAAUACCGCAUACGAUCUGAGGAUGAAAGCGGGGGACCUUCGGGCCUCGCGCGAUUGGAGCGGCCGAUGGCAGAUUAGGUAGUUGGUAGGGUGAUAGCCUACCAAGGCGACGAUCGGUAGCCGACCUGAGAGGGUGAUCGGCCACAUUGGAACUGAGACACGGCCCAG